rnacentral:tRNA from 1 species
GCCUCGGUGGCCUAGCUGGUUAGGGCAUCGCCUUGGUAAGGAUCCGAACAGGCGGUGGUCGCGGGUUCAAAUCCCGCCCGAGGCU